AGCGAACGCUGGCGGCAGGCCUAACACAUGCAAGUCGAACGGACUCUUCGGAAUUACUGGCUGACGGGGGUGUCACACGUCGGAACGUGGCUUUAUACACGGAAUAACUCAUGUAAACUGGUGCUAAUACAGAAUGUGCCACUCGGGGAACAGAUUUAUCGCCAUUAGGACGGCAGGUGUCCUAUUAGCGAGUUGGUGGGGUAACGGCCGAUCAAGGCGAAGAUCCGUAGCUGGUUUGAGAGGAAGAAAAGCCACACUGGAAGUGAGACACGGCACAGACUCCUACGGGAGGCAGCAGUGGGGAAUAGUGGACAAUGGGCGCAAGCCUGAUCCAGCAAUACGGCGUGGGUGAAGAAGGCCUUCGGCUGGGAAAGCCAUUUUGUUGGGAAAGAAAAGCAGCAGGUUAAUACCCCGCUGUUCUGACGGUACCCAAAGAAUAAGCACCGGCUAACUUCGUG
rnacentral:rRNA from 1 species